GCCCUGUAUGUGUGGCUUAAUGGUAUAAGCAGCUGGCAGCCUUGACAUCCCUAUAGCACCUAUAUGUUAUGGGGGCAGGUUCAAAUCCUGCCAGGGGCA